rnacentral:rRNA from 1 species
UACGUAGGUGGCAAGCGUUGUCCGGAAUUACUGGGCGUAAAGCGCGCGCAGGCGGCUAUCCAAGUCAGUGGUGAAAGCCCGGAGCUCAACUCCGGAAUUGCCAUUGAAACUGUUUAGCUCGAGUACGAGAGAGGUGAGUGGAAUUCCCAGUGUAGAGGUGAAAUUCGUAGAUAUUGGGAAGAACACCGGUGGCGAAGGCGGCUCACUGGCUCGUAACUGACGCUCAAGCGCGACAGCGUGGGGAUCAAACAGG